UACGCAGGCGGAUAUAUAAGUCAAAUGUGAAAGGCACCGGCUCAACCGGUGAGCGGCAUUUGAAACUGUAUAUCUUGAGUUCAGGAGAGGAGAGCGGAAUUCCUGGUGUAGCGGUGGAAUGCGUAGAUAUCAGGAAGAACACCAGUGGCGAAGGCGGCUCUCUGGCCUGAAACUGACGCUCAGGUACGAAAGCUGGGGGAGCGAACGGGAUUAGAUACCCCGGUAGUCCCAGCCGUAAACGAUGGACACUAGGUGUUGGGGGUUCGAAUCCUUCAGUGCCGAAGCAAACGCAUUAAGUGUCCCGCCUGGGGAGUACGGUCGCAAGACUGAA
rnacentral:rRNA from 1 species